rnacentral:rRNA from 1 species
CCUACGUGAGGCAGCAGUAGGGAAUCUUCCACAAUGGGCGAAAGCCUGAUGGAGCAACGCCGCGUGGGUGAAGAAGGUCUUAGGCUCGUACAACCCUGUUGUUAGAGAAGAAAGUGCGUGAGAGUAACUGUUCACGUUUCGACGGUAUCUAACCAGAAAGCCACGGCUAGCUACGUGCCAGCAGCCGCGGUAAUACGUGGGUGGAAAACGUUAUCCGGAUUUAUUGGGCGUAAAGGGAACGCAGGUGGUCUUUUAAGUCUGAUGUGAAAGCCUUCGGCUUAACCGGAGUAGGGCAUUGGAAGAUGGGAGAAUUGAGUGCAGAAGAGGAGAGGGGAACUCCAUGUGUAGCGGUGAAAUG